rnacentral:rRNA from 1 species
UCCUACGGGUGGCAGCAGUGGGGAAUAUUGGACAAUGGGCGAAAGCCUGAUCCAGCCAUGCCGCGUGAGUGAUGAAGGCCCUAGGGUUGUAAAGCUCUUUUAACGGGGAAGAUAAUGACGGUACCCGUAGAAUAAGCCCCGGCUAACUUCGUGCCAGCAGCCGCGGUAAUACGAAGGGGGCUAGCGUUGCUCGGAAUCACUGGGCGUAAAGCGCACGUAGGCGGACUCUUAAGUCGGUGGUGAAAUCCUGGAGCUCAACUCCAGAACUGCCUUCGAUACUGGGAGUCUCGAGUUCGGGAGAGGUGAGUGGAACUGCGAGUGUAGAGGUGAAAUUCGUAGAUAUUCGCAAGAACACCAGUGGCGAAGGCGGCUCACUGGCCCGAUACUGACGCUGAGGUGCGAAAGCGUGGGGAGCAAACAGGAUUAGAUACCCCAGUAGUCA